AUCGCUUCUCGGCCUUUUGGCUAAGAUCAAGUGUAGUGUAGUAUCAGUUUUUGGCAACACAGGUUUCUGCGGCUUAAAAUAACAAUUAUUUCACCUCCUCUUUUAUAUAUUCCAGUAAUAUCACUUGUGGAUUUGCAGUUGCUACGUAUAAGGGGCCCAGAAAUUCAGAACUUUGGGGCAGCUCAAGAAUAUAU